rnacentral:rRNA from 1 species
CCUACGGGUGGCUGCAGUGAGGAAUAUUGGUCAAUGGCCGGGAGGCUGAACCAGCCAAGUCGCGUGAGGGAAGACGGCCCUACGGGUUGUAAACCUCUUUUGUCAGGGAGCAAGGUGCAGGUCGGGACCUGCUGUGAGAGUACCUGAAGAAAAAGCAUCGGCUAACUCCGUGCCAGCAGCCGCGGUAAUACGGAGGAUGCGAGCGUUAUCCGGAUUUAUUGGGGUUAAGGGGUGCGCAGGCGGAGGCACAAGUCAGCGGGAAAAUCGCGGGGCUCAACCCCGCUCCGCCGGUGAAACUGGGUCCCUUGAGUGCGCGAAGGGCAGGCGGGAUGCGUGGGGUAGCGGUGAAAUGCAUAGAUAGAACGCAGAACCCCGAUCGCGAAGGCAGCCUACCGGCGCGCAAAUGACGCUGAUGCACGAAAGCGCGGGUAUCGAACAGGAUUAGAUACCCGAGUAGUC